rnacentral:tRNA from 4 species
GCCUCCUUAGCUCAGUGGUAGAGCACUCGCCUUGUAAGCGAAAGGUCGUCAGUUCAAUCCUGACAGGGGGCUCGA